rnacentral:rRNA from 1 species
AUCCGCGCGCUUAACGCGCGGGCGUCCGGUGGAAACUGCGUGGCUUGGGACCGGAAGACCAGAGGGGUACGUCCGGGGUAGGAGUGAAAUCCCGUAAUCCUGGACGGACCACCGGUGGCGAAAGCGCCUCUGGAAGACGGAUCCGACGGUGAGGGACGAAAGCUCGGGUCACGAACCGGAUUAGAUACCCGGGUAGUCCGAGCUGUAAACGAUGUCUGCUAGGUGUGGCACAGGCUACGAGCCUGUGCUGUGCCGUAGGGAAGCCGUGAAGCAGACCGCCUGGGAAGUACGUCCGCAAGGAUGAAACUUAAAGGAAUUGGCGGGGGAGCACUACAACCGGAGGAGCCUGCGGUUUAAUUGGACUCAACGCCGGACAUCUCACCAGCAUCGACAAUGUGCAGUGAAAGUCAGGUUGAUGACCUUACUGGAGCCAUUGAGAGGAGGUGCAUGGCCGCCGUCAGCUCGUACCGUGAGGCGUCCUGUUAAGUCAGGCAACGAGCGAGACCCGCACUCCUAAUUGCCAGCAACACCCUCGUGGUGGUUGGGUACAUUAGGAGGACUGCCAGUGCCAAACUGGAGGAAGGAACGGGCAACGGUAGGUCAGUAUGCCCCGAAUGUGCUGGGCGACACGCGGGCUACAAUGGCCGAGACAGUGGGAUG